UGAGGAAUAUUGGACAAUGGGGGCAACCCUGAUCCAGCCAUGCCGCGUGAGUGAUGAAGGCCUUCGGGUUGUAAAACUCUUUUAGAUGUGACGAUGAUGACGGUAACAUCAGAAAAAGCUCCGGCUAACUUCGUGCCAGCAGCCGCGGUAAUACGAAGGGAGCGAGCGUUGUUCGGAAUCACUGGGCUUAAAGCGUGCGUAGGCGGAUGUGUAAGUCAGGAGUGAAAUCCCAGGGCUUAACCCUGGAACUGCUCUUGAGACUGCAUGUCUGGAAUUCGGUAGAGGUUGGUGGAACUCCCAGUGUAGAGGUGAAAUUCGCAGAUAUUGGGAAGAACACCGGUGGCGAAGGCGACCAACUGGACCGACAUUGACGCUGAGGCACGAAAGCGUGGGUAGCAAACAGGAUUAGAUACCCCCGUAGUCC
rnacentral:rRNA from 1 species